rnacentral:tRNA from 1 species
CGGGACGUAGCUCAGCUGGAAGAGCGCUGGUCUACGAAGCCAGUUGUCGCAGGUUCGAGCCCUGCCGUCCCGA